ensembl:lncRNA CCDST cervical cancer associated DHX9 suppressive transcript
CUCCUGAUAAGAAGACCACCGACCGUGGACGGAUUCUGGCCAGUUUACAAAGGCUGCAUACGUGAAAUUGAAGGCCAGCUUUUGGAACUCAACCUUCAAAGGAACUUAAAAUUUCCAUUAUGUAGAGUCCCUGAGGAAACUGGAUCCACUAGCUA